CUGUCUCCUGCUUCAAACAGUGUUUGAACAGAACAG
rfam:Myotis lucifugus cont2.27887, whole genome shotgun sequence.